rnacentral:rRNA from 1 species
ACAAUGGGCGAAAGCCUGAUCCAGCAAUGCCGCGUGAGUGAUGAAGGCCUUAGGGUUGUAAAGCUCUUUUACCCGGGAUGAUAAUGACAGUACCGGGAGAAUAAGCCCCGGCUAACUCCGUGCCAGCAGCCGCGGUAAUACGGAGGGGGCUAGCGUUGUUCGGAAUUACUGGGCGUAAAGCGUACGUAGGCGGCUUUGUAAGUUAGAGGUGAAAGCCUGGAGCUCAACUCCAGAACUGCCUUUAAGACUGCAUCGCUUGAAUCCAGGAGAGGUGAGUGGAAUUCCGAGUGUAGAGGUGAAAUUCGUAGAUAUUCGGAAGAACACCAGUGGCGAAGGCGGCUCACUGGACUGGUAUUGACGCUGAGGUACGAAAGCGUGGGGAGCAAACAGGAUUAGAUACCCUGGUAGUCCACGCCGUAAACGAUGAUAACUAGCUGUCCGGGGACUUGGUCUUUGGGUGGCGCAGCUAACGCAUUAAGUUAUCCGCC